rnacentral:rRNA from 1 species
UCCUCCUUUGGGCAGCAGUAGGGAAUAUUGCUCAAUGGGGGAAACCCUGAAUCCGCCCCUCCUCUUUUCUUCUUCCUUUUUUCUUCUUGUAACCUCCUUUUGUUAGAUCCUCUAAUGACGUUAUCUAACUAAUAAGCACCGGCUAACUCCGUGCCAUCAGCCUCGGUAAUACGGAGGGUGCAAGCGUUACUCGUAAUCACUGGGCUUAACUAGCGCGUAUUCUGUAUAGCAAUUCAGAUUUGAAAUCCUAUGGCUUAACCAUAGAACUGCAUUUGAAACUGUUAUUCUAGAGUAUGGGAGAGGUA